rnacentral:rRNA from 1 species
UACAGAGGGGGCAAGCGUUGUUCGGAAUUACUGGGCGUAAAGGGCGCGUAGGCGGCCCGCUAAGUCGAACGUGAAAUCCCCGGGCUUAACCCGGGAACUGCGUCCGAUACUGGCAGGCUUGAAUCCGGGAGAGGGAUGUGGAAUUCCAGGUGUAGCGGUGAAAUGCGUAGAUAUCUGGAGGAACACCGGUGGCGAAGGCGGCAUCCUGGACCGGUAUUGACGCUGAGGCGCGAAAGCGUGGGUAGCAAACAGG